CUCUUAUUCCGAGUAGGCAGAGGGACAGGCCCGAUGAAGCCCGGCAACCGGUCGAAUAGCGGCACGGUGCUAACCUGCAGAGAAAAGGGAAGGUUACGCUCUUUCUUCUGAUAAUAAGAG
rnacentral:ncRNA from 2 species